UUUGCCGCGGAGUCAAACCACUAAGAAAUGUCAGGGUUUAUUUUGUUUGUUUUUGGCGCUGGAAGGAAUUUAGAAACACCUGGCCUGGUCCUAGUCAUCCACUGUUUUCAGAAGCCCAGAGAGACUGUGCCACUUGUUCAACUCCACACAGCGCUCCUCCUGCUUUCCCGCAAUCUUCCAGAAGUGAAGAAAGUGCCAUUUGUCAGAUGAGAAAACUGAGUCCCAGAGAGGCCGAGUCGCUAGUACAAGGUGCCAGAGCUAAGAGGACAUCCUAGGACUUGAACACAGUACCUGGGUCUGAAUUAUCCGCUUUUAUUAUGGGGACGUCUUAGCCAAGAACCCAACGCAUAGAGAGAAAACUAAUUAUCCUUCCCUGUAGAGCAAUAGGCUGCCAUCUAGGUUCAUUUUGCUCCUCGGGCAAGAGCUCUAGUCCCAGCUGCAGAGGUGAACGCCGGUGCUGAGCCGAGCUCACUCCUGGCCUGCUCCACUCUGUGCUCAAGGGCCAGGCUUGUCAUGAUUCGAGGGAUGAGCUGGAGCCUGUGUCAGACGCAGAUGGAGGUCUCUGCCAUAGGUGACCUCCUGUCUCCACUAUGUCCCCCCACCACAUCACCUGCGCGCUGGAAUUCUAGGCACACGGUUGGCUGGCUCCUUCUGCUGGUCCCAUCCCAGGCUCUGGA